rnacentral:rRNA from 1 species
GAUGAACGCUGGCGGCGUGCCUAAUACAUGCAAGUCGAGCGAACAGAUGAGGAGCUUGCUCCUCUGACGUUAGCGGCGGACGGGUGAGUAACACGUGGAUAACCUACCUAUAAGACUGGGAUAACUUCGGGAAACCGGAGCUAAUACCGGAUAAUAUAUUGAACCGCAUGGUUCAAUAGUGAAAGACGGUUUUGCUGUCACUUAUAGAUGGAUCCGCGCCGCAUUAGCUAGUUGGUAAGGUAACGGCUUACCAAGGCAACGAUGCGUAGCCGACCUGAGAGGGUGAUCGGCCACACUGGAACUGAGACACGGUCCAGACGCCUACGGGAGGCAGCAGUAGGGAAUCUUCCGCAAUGGGCGAAAGCCUGACGGAGCAACGCCGCGGGAGUGAUGAAGGUCUUCGGAUCGUAAAACUCUGUUAUUAGGGAAGAACAAAUGUGUAAGUAACUAUGCACGUCUUGACGGUACCUAAUCAGAAAGCCACGGCUAACUACGUG